UUGGAGAGCUGGAGCCGCUUCCACAACGUGGAGGGGUUAAAAAAAAAUUUCAGGGAUUCCUUAGAAGACGACUAUUUUGAGAGGGCUCUUGGAGGCACUAAUUAAAGUACUUUUCCUUAGAGCAUGUGUUCAUGUUGAAGCCUGAAAGGAAACUAAAAAGCGUACCAACCCAGUUUCCGGGGGACUGAGAUUGCGACGGACAACCAGGAAGCGGCCGGGCUGGGAGCUGUCUCGGGUUCUCCGCUCUGGUCUCGAGGGCAGGUCCUAGGGUUCCUAUACCGUGUUCCCCAGCUCCGCGCUAUCCCUGCCCCGACCUAGGCUCCGGCCUGGCCUGUCGCUCCGGAGCCGCCAUGUCGUCCGACUUCGAAGGCUUCGAGCAGGACUUCGCGGUGCUCACUGCGGAGAUCACAAGCAAGAUUGCCAGGGUCCCCCGACUGCCCCCUGAUGAGAAGAAACAGAUGGUUGCAAAUGUGGAGAAACAGCUUGAAGAAGCAAAAGAACUGCUUGAGCAGAUGGAUUUGGAAGUCCGAGAGAUACCACCCCAAAGUCGAGGAAUGUACAGCAACAGAAUGAGAAGCUACAAGCAAGAAAUGGGAAAACUUGAAACAGAUUUUAAAAGGUCACGGAUCGCCUACAGUGACGAAGUGCGCAAUGAGCUCCUAGGGGAUGACGGGAAUUCCUCGGAGAGCCAGUUGAUAAAAUUACGUGAAGAGAGGGCACAUCUGCUCGAUAACACAGAGAGGCUGGAAAGGUCAUCUCGGAGACUAGAGGCUGGGUACCAAAUAGCAGUGGAAACCGAGCAAAUUGGCCAAGAGAUGUUGGAAAACCUCAGUCAUGACAGAGAAAAGAUACAGAGAGCACGUGAAAGACUUCGGGAAACAGACGCUAACUUGGGGAAAAGCUCCAGGGUCCUGACGGGGAUGUUGCGAAGAUACCAACUAUUUAAUAUGACUAGGAGUCGAAAACCCAAAAAACUCAGAUUUAAGAGACAAAGAGUGAAAGAUACGACUUGGUUUUGCAACAUAUUGGAAAAUCAGAAUUAACUACAGGUUUUCCUUUUGAAAUGGAAAAGAGAAAUAAAAACAUGGCACCAGGUUUUGGCUCCGACUGGAUUUCCAUGGAGCAUGUCAUCUAGGAAGGAUGAUGAGAAUUCUGGAAGCAAAAUAUCCUUGUUGUGUUCAGCACUGGGGAUGCUGUAAAAACUGAAUGAAUGCAGAGAAUCUUUUUACCAAAGGAGUGGUGCAAAGGCUAUAUUCAUUCAGCAGAAACCGUACUUUGAAUUUUGAGUUUUGAUCUUUUCCUGGACUAGUGAUGUGCGUGCAAUACUCCCCCAGGAUGCCGGGCAGUGAGCUGUGUCUUCGAAUCAAAUCCAAGAUCACAAGGGUAAACAACCGACACCCUGCAGUAUGCUGUGUUGCCAGGGUGUUUGGGGAUAUUGU